ensembl:snoRNA SNORA70 Small nucleolar RNA SNORA70
GGGCAAAUUUGAAACUGUCAUUAAAUCACCCAUAUCUUAAUUAUUCGCCUUGGGGGCCCAAGUGCCAGCACUGAAAACAAGCCUCCUGGGUAGAAUCUGCAGCCUGUUGUUUGCAAAGGUUGCUCUAAAUUACAUUAGAGGCAGCC